AACCAUAGAAACCUGCGGAGUACCUGCGGAGGGAUCAUUAUAGUAUAUGGAAUCUCCAUUCUAUAAACCCACUCUGCGUACCUUGUAACUGUUGCUUCCAUGGGACUUGGUUCCGCCACACCGGCUUCACGGCUGGUGAGCGCCCAUGGAAGGAGAAACAAAACUCUUCUUUGAAAUGUAGUCAGUCUGAACAAGUUUUUAUAAACGUUAAAACUUUUAACAAUGGAUCUCAGAUCGGAA
rnacentral:misc_RNA from 1 species